GAGGGUGCAGUGUGAGGAAGAGCGAGGGGUGUAGCAGGGAAAGUACUGGUCUGUGCUGCGUGUGGGAAGUGACUUUAGUGGCGGCGUGAAGGCGAGGACACGAGUGAGGUGCUGGCAGGCUGACUGAGAACGUCAUUGUACGACAGAGUAGCCAGCUAAACAGCCGAGCCCUCAGCGUGCGCCUCCCGCCGGACAAGGGACCCUACAUCCAACACUACCUCAUUGAGAUCCACAACGAAGGCUCCUCCUACUCACUCCAAGCUUCUGAAAACCGCUUCGACACCCUUCCUUCGCUCAUCACCUAUUAUUCUCAGUGCUGCGAAGAGUUGCUGGCUCAGCUCAAGCUUCCUCGCACCGUCCAGGAGGCCAAGACCCGCCAUGAACUCGGCUCUCUCUCGCUGCUCGGACAAGAUGAGCAUCAAACACUUACGUGGUCGUGAAAUGUAAUUGAAGUGUAAUGAGCGAGAGGAGGAUUCUCCACUUCAAUGGUGGAAUGACCUCUGCCUUUCUACGAAUGUGUGGGUAGUUUGAUGGCCCGGGAAGUUAAUAAUCCUUGACUGCAAUGCCUCAUUCAUGACAUCUGCUUACCCCAGUGAAUGUCCACGAUGUCACCACUACGAUGGCCAGUUAUAAGACUGCCAUAGCGACUGAGUUGGUGCAAAAAGUAUCCCCUACCUGGCGGACAGUACCUCCUUGCCCACGAGAUCAUCCCUUUCAUUCUGUGUAACUUAAUAUAAUCAAGCGUUGUUGAAGCGUGAUCAGACGCAUGUUAACGGGAGGUCAUUGAACUGAAGAGGGGAAGAGGUUUGAUGGGAGGAGACAUUGGUAAUACUGCAUACUAGUUUCCAGAAGUGUUGGACGUGCUUGAAUCAUACUUUGUUGUGCAGUAUUUUUGAGACAUAGACGUUGAUUUGGCGCGCUCAAAAAACACGCGAAAAUUUGACUUUCCGGGGAGAAUGGUGGCUUCGGCCGCCCAAAACCUGCAGAUGGCGCUCUCUCUCUCUCUCUCUCUCUCUCUCUCUCUCUCUCUCUCUCUCUCUCUCUCUCUCUCUCUCUCUCUCUCUCUCUCUCUCUCUCUCGCUCUCUAUCUUCCCCCUCCCUCUCUCCCCAUUCUCUCUCUUCCCCCCUCCCUCCAUCCCCAUUCCCUCUCCCUAUUUUCUCUUCCCCUUCCCUCCCUCCCCAUUCCCUCUCUCUCCCCAUUCCUUCCCUCCUCUCCCCCUUCCCUUCAUCCUUACAUUUCCUCCCUCCCUCCAUCUCCCUCAUCCCUUUCUAUUUCAUUUUGUUUUUUAUUUAUUUAUUUAUUUUUAUUUAUUCAUUUAAUUUAUUUUUAUUUAAGAGGGGUACCUGCCAAGGCCAACAAAAUUGGAAAGAAAAAAAAUGUUCCCUGAGGCGCCGGUCCCCAAACUGAGUCAGAAACGAUUGUCAAAAAUUAGAGGAUGAGUGUCUUGAAGCUUCCCUCUUGAGAGAGUAGUCUUGAUAAGCGUCCACAGUGUUAGACGAAGACUUUGAGUUGUGUUGAUGAGGGGAGUAACAGUCUUCGGAGCUUUGUUCUUUAUUAACAAUAUGUACAGAAAGAAGGGCAAGGAAAAGAUGUCUCAGAGUGGUUAGUAAUUAAGGAAAGAUGUGCCAAACAGUUGUACAAGGGCUUAGCAUUGACGUGUUUGGGCAAAGCACCUUAUCUAUUUCUGUCUUUAAGGUAUACGUGGAAACAAUGAAGGAAGUGAUGAUAUUGCGUGGCUUGCCUCCGUUGUUGUCAUGGUUGGACACAAAACAAGAGUAGAAGAAGAUGAUGAUAAUGUGAAGAAAAGAAUACGUUCAAGAAGAAUUACUUGAAGAAAAAAAGGAGGAAAAUGAAUAUAAAAAAAAGUUGAAGAAAAUGAUAAGCGUUAUGUGAUGGUCAUUGUCUCUUAUUUCCGAACACUCUACUAAAGUGACUCUAAAUGAAGUUGAUUGUCUAAUUAUUAUUAAUUAUAUUAUAGAAGAAAAGGAAAACUGAACACACACACACACACACACACACACACACACACACACACACACACACACACACACACACACACACACA